rfam:Chelonia mydas contig200145, whole genome shotgun sequence.
AGGUUUGUAUAGUGGCAGUAUUGUAGUCUCUGAGGUUCAGCUGAGGCAUGGUUAUUGCUAAUGGAAACCUUUUUGUAAUAUCCCACCUUGAGAGCUUGAUUUACAGCUGUCAUGGGUGAUUUUUGGUGGUUAUUGUAAAAG